ACAACCUUAUAUUAGUACAAGAUCAAUUUUAAAUCACCAAAAUUUUUAGAUCUAAGACAAAAAUUAGAUUAUAUAUGUCUUUAAAAAUUAGUGUCUCUGAUAUCACUAUUAAAAAGUUAGGUAAGAUGCAUGCAUAGAUUUCAAAAAUCUUUUCAAUCACAGUGGAAAAACAAUCAGAUUAAACUCUUUAACCCCACAUGCAUUAGAUCUCAUCUAAUCCCACCCAUCC
rnacentral:lncRNA from 1 species